GACGAACGCUGGCGGCGUGCUUAACACAUGCAAGUCGAACGGACAGGCCCUGCUUUUGUGGGGUGCUCGAGUGGCGAACGGGUGAGUAUCACGUGAGUAACCUGCCCUUGAAUUCGGGAUAACUUCAGGAAACUGGGGCUAAUCCCGGAUCUGAGCUCAUGCUGCAUGGUUGGGGUUGGAAAGUUUAUGCGGUUGGGGAUGGACUAGCGGAUGAUCAGCUUGUGUGUGGGGUAGUGGCUUAACAAGGCUUGGACGGGUAGCCGGCAUGAGAGGGUGAACGGCCACGUUAGGGCUGAGAUACUGGCCAGAGUCGUACGGGAUGCAGCGGGUGGUAAUAAUGCACAAUGGGCGGAAGCCUGAUGCAGCAACGCCGCGUGCGGGAUAACGGCCUUCGGGUUUAAAACCGCUGUCGCCUUUAACGAUGCGUAAGUGACGUUAAUGAGUAAAGAAGCAACGGCUAGCUACGUG
rnacentral:rRNA from 1 species